AACGGUAACAUUUCUAGCUUGCUAGAAGAUGACGAGUGGCGGACGGGUGAGUAAUGCUUGGGAACUUGCCUUUGCGAGGGGGAUAACAGUUGGAAACGACUGCUAAUACCGCAUAAUGUCUUCGGACCAAACGGGGCUUCGGCUCCGGCGCAAAGAGAGGCCCAAGUGAGAUUAGCUAGUUGGUAAGGUAACGGCUUACCAAGGCGACGAUCUCUAGCUGUUCUGAGAGGAAGAUCAGCCACACUGGGACUGAGACACGGCCCAGACUCCUACGGGAGGCAGCAGUGGGGAAUAUUGCACAAUGGGGGAAACCCUGAUGCAGCCAUGCCGCGUGUGUGAAGAAGGCCUUCGGGUUGUAAAGCACUUUCAGUUGUGAGGAAAAGUUAGUAGUUAAUACCUGCUAGCCGUGACGUUAACAACAGAAGAAGCACCGGCUAACUCCGUGCCAGCAGCCGCGGUAAUACGGAGGGUGCGAGCGUUAAUCGGAAUUACUGGGCGUAAAGCGCACGCAGGCGGUUUGUUAAGCUAGAUGUGAAAGCCCCGGGCUCAACCUGGGAUGGUCAUUUAGAACUGGCAGACUAGAGUCUUGGAGAGGGGAGUGGAAUUCCAGGUGUAGCGGUGAAAUGCGUAGAUAUCUGGAGGAACAUCAGUGGCGAAGGCGACUCCCUGG
rnacentral:rRNA from 1 species